rnacentral:sRNA from 1 species
CUACCGGCAAAAUCCGGUACAGGAUUGGCGUCCUGAAAUGCAUACAGCGACAAAUUGAGACGCGCUGGCGUCUUUUUU